rnacentral:rRNA from 1 species
AUUGAACGCUGGCGGCAUGCCUUACACAUGCAAGUCGAACGGUAACAGGUCUUCGGAUGCUGACGAGUGGCGAACGGGUGAGUAAUACAUCGGAACGUGCCUAGUAGUGGGGGAUAACUACUCGAAAGAGUGGCUAAUACCGCAUGAGAUCUACGGAUGAAAGUAGGGGAUCGCAAGGCCUUGUGCUACUAGAGCGGCCGAUGGCAGAUUAGGUAGUUGGUGGGAUAAAAGCUUACCAAGCCGACGAUCUGUAGCUGGUCUGAGAGGACGAUCAGCCACACUGGGACUGAGACACGGCCCAGACUCCUACGGGAGGCAGCAGUGGGGAAUUUUGGACAAUGGGCGCAAGCCUGAUCCAGCAAUGCCGCGUGCAGGAUGAAGGCCUUCGGGUUGUAAACUGCUUUUGUACGGAACGAAAAGCCCUGGGUUAAUACCCUGGGGUCAUGACGGUACCGUAAGAAUAAGCACCGGCUAACUACGUGCCAGCCGCCGCUGUAACAC